CCUACGGGGGGCUGCAGUAAGGAAUAUUGGUCAAUGGACGAAAGUCUGAACCAGCCAUGCCGCGUGGAGGAUGAAGGUCCUCUGGAUUGUAAACUUCUUUUAUAUGGGACGAAAAAAGGCCUUUCUAGGCCGUCUGACGGUACCAUAUGAAUACGCACCGGCUAACUCCGUGCCAGCAGCCGCGGUAAUACGGAGGGUGCAGGAGUUAUCCGGAUUAACUGGGUUUAAGGGGUGUUUAUAAGUCUGGGGUGAAAUCUCCGAGCUUAACUUGGAAACUGCCAUUGAUACUAUUAAUCUUGAAUAUUGUGGAGGUUAGCGGAAUAUGUCAUGUAGCGGUGAAAUGCUUAGAUAUGACAUAGAACACCAAUUGCGAAGGCAGCUGGCUACACAUAUAUUGACACUGAGGCACGAAAGCGUGGGGAUCAAACAGGAUUAGAUACCCGGGUAGUC
rnacentral:rRNA from 1 species